rnacentral:RNase_P_RNA from 1 species
AAAGUUUGACAGACAAUCGCUGGCGGCUUAACAGCCGCGAGAGGAAAGUCCGGGCUCCAUAGGGCAGGGAUGCUGGAUAACGUCCAGUCGGCGCGAGCCGAAGGAUAGUGCCACAGAAAUGGACCGCCGAUGGCCGGCUUCGCGCCGGCACAGGCAAGGGUGGAACCGUGGUGUAAGAGACCACGAGGACCGUUGGUGACUUCGGUCCUGGUAAACCCCAUCUGGAGCAAGACCUAAGAGAACGCUGCGGCUUCGAGCCGCACCCUUGCCCGGGGAGCGUUCGGGUUGGUCGCUUGAGCUUGCCAGCAAUGGCCGGCCUAGAUAGAUGAUUGUCGCUUCAUGCGUGGGAGGGUCGUUCCCGUUAAUACCACUAGAAGUACAGAACCCGGCUUACGGCAAACUUUCCGU